GCUCCGUUGGUCCAAUGGUAUAAGACGCUGGCACAAACAAGCUAGAGAUAUUGGUUCGACUCCGGUACGGAGACA